ACUCCUACGGGAGGCAGCAGUGGGGAAUAUUGCACAAUGGGCGAAAGCCUGAUGCAGCAACGCCGCGUGAGGGAUGACGGCCUUCGGGUUGUAAACCUCUUUUAGUAAGGAAGAAGAAUCACGGUACUUGCAGAAAAAGCACCGGCUAACUACGUGCCAGCAGCCGCGGUAAUACGUAGGGUGCAAGCGUUGUCCGGAAUUAUUGGGCGUAAAGAGCUCGUAGGCGGUUUGUCGCGUCUGCUGUGAAAACCGGAGGCUCAACCUCCGGCCUGCAGUGGGUACGGGCAGACUAGAGUGCGGUAGGGGAGAUUGGAAUUCCUGGUGUAGCGGUGGAAUGCGCAGAUAUCAGGAGGAACACCGAUGGCGAAGGCAGAUCUCUGGGCCGUAACUGACGCUGAGGAGCGAAAGCAUGGGGAGCGAACAGGAUUAGAUACCCUGGUAGUCCAUGCCGUAAACGUUGGGAACUAGAUGUAGGGGCCAUUCCACGGUUUCUGUGUCGCAGCUAACGCAUUAAGUUCCCCGCCUGGGGAGUACGGCCGCAAGGCUAAAACUCAAAGGAAUUGACGGGGGCCCGCACAAGCGGCGGAGCAUGCGGAUUAAUUCGAUGCAACGCGAAGAACCUUACCAAGGCUUGACAUAUACCGGAAACCUGCAGAAAUGUAGGCCCCGCAAGGCUGGUAUACAGGUGGUGCAUGGUUGUCGUCAGCUCGUGUCGUGAGAUGUUGGGUUAAGUCCCGCAACGAGCGCAACCCUCGUUCUAUGUUGCCAGCACGUUAUGGUGGGAACUCAUAGGAGACUGCGGGGUCAACUCGGA
rnacentral:rRNA from 1 species